rnacentral:rRNA from 1 species
CCUACGGGAGGCAGCAGUAGGGAAUCUUGCGCAAUGGGCGAAAGCCUGACGCAGCGACGCCGCGUGCGGGAAGAAGGCCUUCGGGUUGUAAACCGCUUUCAGGAGGGACGAAGCCACUCGGGUUAAUACCCCAGAGGGUGACGGUACCUCCAGAAGAAGCCCCGGCUAACUACGUGCCAGCAGCCGCGGUAAUACGUAGGGGGC